rnacentral:rRNA from 1 species
ACAAGGAUUCCCCUAGUAACUGCGAGUGAAGCGGGAAAAGCUCAAAUUUAAAAUCUGGCGGCUUCGUCGUCCGAGUUGUAAUCUAGAGAAGUGUUACCCGCGUUGGACCGUGUACAAGUCUCCUGGAAUGGAGCGUCAUAGAGGGUGAGAAUCCCGUCUUUGACACGGACUACCAAGGCUUUGUGGUGCGCUCUCAAAGAGUCGAGUUGUUUGGGAAUGCAGCUCAAAAUGGGUGGUAAAUGCCAUCUAAAGCUAAAUAUUGGCGAGAGACCGAUAGCGAACAAGUACCGUGAGGGAAAGAUGAAAAGAACUUUGGAAAGAGAGUUAAACAGUACGUGAAAUUGCUGAAAGGGAAACGCUUGAAGUCAGUCACGCUGCCUGAAAUCAACCUUGCUUCUGCUUGGUGUACUUUCUGGUUGCGGGUCAACAUCAAUUUUGAUCAGUGGAUAAAGGCUGUGGAAAUGUGGCUCCCUCGGGAGUGUUAUAGUCUGCUGUUGUAUACACUGAUUGGGAUUGAGGAACUCAGCGCGCCGCAAGGCCGGGAUUCGUCCACGUUCGCGCUUAGGAUGUUGGCAUAAUGGCUUUAAUCGACCCGUCUUGAAACACGGACCAAGGAGUCUAACAUGCCUGCGAGUAUUUGGGUGGAAAACCCGAGUGCGCAAUGAAAGUAAAAAUUGAGAUCCCUGUCGUGGGGAGCAUCGAUGCCCGGACCAGAUGUUUACUGACGGAUCCGCGGUUGAGCAUGUAUGUUNGGGACCCGAAAGAUGGUGAACUAUGCCUGAAUANGGUGAAGCCAGAGGA